UGGCGGAUGGGCAUGCGGCGCAUUAGCUAGUCGGCGGGGUAACGGCCCACCGAGGCGACGAUGCGUAGGGGUUCUGAGAGGAAGGUCCCCCACACUGGUACUGAGACACGGACCAGACUCCUACGGGAGGCAGCAGUGAGGAAUAUUGGUCAAUGGGCGCGAGCCUGAACCAGCCAAGUCGCGUGAGGGAUGACGGUCCUACGGAUUGUAAACCUCUUUUGCCGGGGAGCAAGCGUGCGUUCGUGAACGCGCGUCGAGAGUACCCGGAGAAAAAGCAUCGGCUAACUCCGUGCCAGCAGCCGCGGUAAUACGGAGGAUGCGAGCGUUAUCCGGAUUUAUUGGGUUUAAAGGGUGCGUAGGCGGGAUGCCAAGUCAGCGGUAAAAAUGCGGUGCUCAACGCCGUCGAGCCGUUGAAACUGGCGUUCUUGAGUGGGCGAGAAGUAUGCGGAAUGCGUGGUGUAGCGGUGAAAUGCAUAGAUAUCACGCAGAACUCCGAUUGCGAAGGCAGCAUACCGGCGCCCUACUGACGCUGAGGCACGAAAGCGUGGGUAUCGAACAGGAUUAGAUACCCUGGUAGUCCACGCAGUAAACGAUGAAUGCUAACUGUCCGGUGCGAGUGAGCGCUGG
rnacentral:rRNA from 1 species